GACGAACGCUGGCGGCGUGCCUAAUACAUGCAAGUCGACCUUAGUUGCGAACGGUUGAGUAACACGUGGGUAACCUGCCCAUCAUAAGGGGAUAACACUUGGAAACAGGUGCUACUACCGUAUACUGCUUGCUGGACCCGGGGUGCAUUGGCUAGUUGGUGAGGUAACGGCUCACCAAGGCCACGAUUCAUAGCCGACCGGAGAGGGUGAUCGGCCACAUUGGGACUGAGACACGGCCCAAGCUCCUACGGGAGGCAGCAGUAGGGAAGCUUCGGCAAUGGACGAAAGUCUGACCGAGCAACGCCGCGUGAGUGAAGAAGGUUUUCGGAUCGUAAAACUCUGUUGUUAGAGAAGCGGUAUCUAAAGAGAAAGCAACGGCUAACUACGUGCCAGCAGCCGCGGUAAUUC
rnacentral:rRNA from 1 species